GCCAGCCUGGCGUAGUGGUUUGAAUGUUGGACUAUAACUCUGGAGACCAGGGUUCAAUUCCCUGGUUGGCC